GGGUUGUUAGUGGCUCUUUUAUUCCAUGCCACUUCUGUCUGACUGUCACUUCUCAGAUUUGUGCAGACUUCACAACGCAGAAUACCAAGUCACGACAGGAGAGAUGGAGAGAGACUGGGAGCAUGAGAGAAGCUGCAAGUCUAAAACGAAUGGGAGGACACCAGGAUAGUAAGGUUGACGGGGGUGGGCAUCUAUUACGUCAAAGGAAAGGGAGGACGUGCUGCACAGGAUUCCUCAUCAGUUGAUGUCAGCGUUUCGGCACAGGGGAGUGAUUUAAGAGGGCAUGGCGUUCUUGUCGUGCACCCACCCCUCCGAGGCUGUUCCAGUCUGCCAGUCCCGCUACGCUCUGCACUGCAAUGUAAAAACAAACAAAACACCCUGGGCCUUUUUAAUUAUCUCCGGGGCACAGUCUGACAGCUCAGAGCUGAGGAGAUAACCAGCUAAAGCGGAGUAACCAGCUAUUACACUAAAUAUUUGGGUGCGUUGCACAGCUGAGGCCAUGAGUGAGAGUGUGGGAAAUAUCGACUGGUGGAAAGUUGGAAAACAAUUCAAACCCCAACUGGCAUGAUGGCAUUAACAGCUUAUCGUUAAUGUCACUCAGUAGUUAAGAUUUGAGUUGACUGUAGAGUUUACACAAUGGAAUGGAACUUUCGGGUUUGCUUUACUCGCUCAAUGUUCUAGGGUUCUAGCCAAUGGUUUGUCGUCAGGUGAGAUGUUUUUGACAUGGUUAGGAGACAGGGUUUUGCUGGCGCCAUUCUUAUUAUUUAUGGCAGGAGGGUGGAUAACGUUGGGGGUGGGUUACAUGUUGGUAAGGGGAUGUUAUUUGAAGGUCGUGACCUUUCCUUAUUACCAAUUUACAAACCAGCCCAGUGUUGUAAAUUGCUUUAUUGUGCCACAGAGCGUGGGCACCACUCACCCGCGCAGGGCCACCUUGAAACCAUGUUGAUGUUGACCUAUGGGGUCACUGGGGUACAAGAGUAUUUUAGUAAAUCAAAACUAAUCAUGAGAACUAUUUAGUAAACUGAAAUAAACUAAUUAACAAAUCUGCUUGAAAAAUGAAAACUCCAAAAUAAAAUAAAAUGAAACCCUAAUGAAAUAUGUUCAGUUUUCAAUGGAAUGGGGUUUACAAUGGAAUGGAGUUUUCAAUGGAAUGGGGUUUACAAUGGAAUGGAGUUUUAAAUGGAAUGGGGUUUACAAUGGAAUGGAGUUUUAAAUGGAAUGGGGUUUACAAUGGAAUGGAGUUUUCAAUGGAAUGGGGUUUACAAUAGAAUGGAGUUUUCAAUGGAAUGGGGUUUACAAUGGAAUGGAGUUUUCAAUGGAGUUUUCAAGCUACUGAAUCUGAAAUCAUAAUAUAAUAUUGUGUGUGUACAUUGUACAAUCAAUUAGAGAGAGAGCCUCAUAUCACAGUUAUUUGAAUAUAUCCACUAUACACAUAAAUCACAGCAAAUUGGUUCCUGUUUCAGCCAUGUCUUUGGUCACAUUUGCUUGGUCAAACAAAAAUCCUAAUGAAUGAAUGAGAAUAGAGCCGACCACAAUGCAGGCGACGGCUGCAGGAUGAAGUUGCUGAAACUUGCAGUCGACAGCAAGCAAAACUUCAUAACGUUUGAUCCCAUGAUUUUUGUAAAGUUCAUGCGGUUUCGUGUAGGUGCAAGUCAGACUAUUUGUAUUCCCAGAAUGCAGCACACUUUGAAAGGUGGUGAAGUGAUCCGAUUAAGGUGAGCACAAUGCAAUACUUUGCUCUCACAUAGUCACGCAGAGUAACCAGAGCGAAGCGCACCCGUGCACAUGGGCAGAUACUCUGUAUGACUGUGUGAGAGCAAAGUCUUGCAUCGUGCUCAUCUCAAUGGGCGCGUUUUGAGCGGGUCACUUUUGUCAAGUUGGUGACCGUUGUUGGUCACUGCCUUUCGAAGUGUGUUGCAUUGAACAUGGUUGUUACAGGACCAAAAGAGCAGAAAAGUUUAGCCUCGUGCUUCAACGCUCCUGGUUGUUGCUGAAAUGGACCCACUACAACUGUUUACCUUGUGCAUCUACAUCAUCUUACUAGCCCCGUUUAUACCUGGUUCUAACAUGCGUCCUUUGUCCUGAUCUUGUCCAUAUUCUGAUUUGUGUCCACAUUUUUUAGACAGUUGUAGAUUAUUGAGAGAAGGAUCGUGAUCAGACGUUCCUGACCACCGCCUCAUUGAGUCUAGAUAUCUUAGUGUAGACGGAUCUGGACAGUGAAACCAGUUAAAUCAUCAUUAUCCCGCCUUCUAAAGUCAUUGACGGGGGGCACCAUUGACGUAUGAUGUCAAUAUGUGUCUUAAAUAAAUAAAUAAAUAUUAUUUUGAAAGAAUUUGCAUACAUGGAGGGACCAGGAAAUCUGGUACCAAUGCGGACACAGUGAUAAGAGACUCAUUUUAAUACAAUGUGUAGAUGCAUAUCUGAAAAUGUGGGCACAAUCAGAAGAAAGGAUGAGUGUUUCUCCUAUCAGAAGAAAGGAUGAGUGUUUCUCCUUUCAGGAGAAAGUAUGAGUGUUUCUCCUUUCAGGAGAAAGGAAGAGUGUUUCUCCUUUCAGAAGAAAGGAUGAGUGUUUCUCCUUUCAGAAGAAAGGAUGAGUGUUUCUCCUUUCAGGAGAAAGGAUGAGUGUUUCUCCUUUCAGAAGAAAGGAUGAAUUUUAGCGCCGGGUAUAAACUUAAACUGUAAAACUUAAACAAAACAAAAAACAAGCUAGAAGUGGAUCUGAAAACUAACUGAAUCUGAACUGAGUUACAAAUACAAAUCCUAGAAGGAGUAUGUUGAGUAAACAGCCUUGAGUAAAAUGUAAAAAAAAAAAUAUAUAUGAAAACACAAAACUAUAAUAACCUUGCUCUUCCAAGGAUCCGUGGUGAUUUUCUAUUGACAUAAACAAGUAAUUUGAGCCUUGAGAAUCUUUUUCAUCAUCAUUGCUUCUACCAAUGCUGCCUAAGGCCGUCUGUGAAAA